CAGAGGAGUCUUAUAGAGCCACUACCUGUGUGUUCCUUACUUUGCCUAGCCUCUUGCUGGGUGCAACUUGUGCACUGAGAGGAGCCCUGCCUGAACCGCCCCGACCCCAGAAGGGCCAGAGAAGAAGUCAACUUCACUCUCUUUGUUCCGGAAAGCCAUCCCAUGGGGUGCAGCAUCUUCCCAGGGCCUUGGGGGCCAUGGGUGGCUCUUACUUGGCUUUUGGCAAGUGUUUCCUUUGGACUCAGCACAGAAGUGCAUGGAAUCAACUGCCACAGGUGCGUAAUGGAGAAGCCAGGGCUGCCAUGCUAUCCUUCAGACGGAAUCUGCUCAGUGUGGCGUGGUGGGGGAUGCUUUACUGAGAAAGAGUACAAAGAUGGCAGAGUGGUGAAAAUAACCAAGGGCUGUUAUGUAGAUAAUUCCAGAUGUGAAACCAGAUGGAUAAAUCAUGCAGAUGAAAUUGAACAUGAGAAACGCUGCUGUGCCAAAGACAAUUGCAACAACAAAUGGUAGAGUGUGGAUGAAGACACACGUAACGGUUAAGGCUGAAAUCCUACCAACACCUCUUGUGGAUUAAGCACCAUGGAACUCAGUAGAAUUUCCUUCUGAUUAAACAUUCAUACAAUUACUCUAGAUGAAAAAUUGCAUCCCUUCUUCUUUAAUAUUGUAAGACACCCUGAUGAUUGUGUUGUAGCGCCACCUAUAAAUCCUUUGAAGAACUAAAUAAACAUGAUUUUAAAUGCUG